rnacentral:tmRNA from 2 species
GGGGGCGAAACGGCUUCGACGGGGAUAAAGAAGCAUUGAUUGCAUGUCGAGGUUUCCUGCUGCUCGUUAAACGCGGGAAAUAAAUAUAAUCGCAGACGAUUAUAACUACGCCGUAGCCGCUUAGGCGGCUUCCGUUCUGCCAGGUUCCUCCCGCGGACCUGAACAGAGCGUCGACUUAGCGGGAUAGUUGGUCCGGAUUGCCUGGCUCCGGUCCGGCGAACGUUACAGGCUGGCCUUAUACGGAAUCCCGUCCGGAGGAGACCGUAAAAGGCGAGAAUAAAACUCCGGAAUAAGCAUGUAGAUAUCAAUGUGGAAUGUUUUCGGACGCGGGUUCAACUCCCGCCGCCUCCACCA